UAUUUACAGUGAUCAGUGAAUGCAUGGCAAUGGGAUCCAGCGAUCCAGGUCUCCCUUUUCCUAAGCAGAACGUGACUUAAAACAAAGACCUUGGUUUUUGAGUUUUUCUUCCAUAGAUCACGCAGCCACAUAGGUUUGGGAAAUGUGAUUGACCAAAAGAGGAAUAAAUGAACAAGGGGAAAACUGGAACGAAGACAUGAACUGACCAAUUUAGACAGAGGAAGGAGAAUACUCACCUCUUCUACAUAUCAAAAAAGAAAUAACUCAUGUCACAUCAUUUCUCCUUUUCACAUCCUAUAGGGAGCCAAAGGAUUCACCUUACAAUAGUCAAAAUGGGAAGAAAUGAUGUACUUGAUAAAGGACAAGGCUGUAAUAAAGCCAAGUGUGGCUGAUUGUGUUUCUGAUUUUACUUAAUCAAGAGCAGAGCGCUAAGAACAGAAUUCAUUGCUGCCUACAAUGCUGAAGCAAGAUCCCAUAAGCCCUGUUCAAGUGGUCCCACCUGUAUUUAAUCCAACCGGAAUUCAUACAGAAGCCCUUCUAAAAUCAUGAUACAUGGAAGAGUAAAUGUUAAGGGGCAGGGGAAGAUGGAAGGAUGCUUGUAUCAGAUUCCUGAGAGGGCCUGAAGAGAUCAGCUGCCUAUGUGAGAAAUACACUCUUGUGUGAACUAGAAAAUUUCACGAAUAAUAAUACCUACCUCAGAUGUUUGUGAAGAGCAUUGCAUGACUCUACAUAAAGCAUUUAGAUGGUGCCUGGCACACUACAAGAGCUUGAUCAAUAUCAGUGUUGUUCAUCAUAAGCCUAUGGUGUGGCUUGUAAAAACAGAAAUUCUUGCAUGGCUGGAACCUAUAACAGUGCCAGCAGUCAACCAUAUUUGACUUGCAAAAUUAGUGGUUUCGUGUAUUUCAAUCUAAUAUGUUCCCAUGAAACUUGCCUAUUUCUCUCACCUUUUGUCCUUUUGUCAGGGAUUAAGGAGAAAAGAAAGGAAAGGGGAAGAGAGCGGGAGGACAGGCUAAAAGAAGGAACAGGAAGGUGGUGGUUUAUGAGGUAAAGCCCUUUGAAGAACUUGCACUGACUGGAAGCUGAGGUGAUAAGAUGUAGUCCUGUGCCUCACAACCCUUUAGUGAACUCUCUAGGUCUUCAGGAAAUUCCGAGACAUGGAUGUGUCUCCAUGUGCCACCAAUGAAAAUGCUCCUUUAAGAUAAAGAAAAUACCCAAACCAUGGAAUAGGCCUGACAGUUCCUAAAAGGACACAAUGCUGAGGCAAAACCAAAGGAAGCAGUACAGGAAAGUUGGGGUACAGGAGUAACUCUUCCAGAGAGGUGAGAGAAAGUGCCUAGAGCUCAGUUCUUCCAUGAUCUCUCUUCUCCCUGGACUAUCCACAGCUGUCAUCAGAGUGAGCUCCUUGUCUGCCUCUCUCCUAGAAACUGGACCAGCCUCAAAGGCCAGGGCAAGUGAAUAUAGUAUUUCUAAAGCCGCUAAUUUCUGGGCACCUCAGCAUCAAACACACCAAAAAGAAGAAUCUUUCACAGAGCAGUAUCCUUGGUCAAAACUCUCCUUAACCUAAAAACAAAAACAAAACAACUCUCUUCAACCUAGCAACAAACUUUAGCCCUAAGUAGCGUUCACAGGGUUGUAGACACUGAUGACAGUUCUCCUCAAGGAACUAAAAUCCCAUGAGUAUUAAAGGGUAGGAGGUAAGCUCAGUGUAGAAGUAGCAGACCAUAAGACAAAAAUGUAUUUAAUUUUCUUUUUUUUUCUUUUUUUUCUUUUUUUGUCUUUUGAUGGCGGCACCUGCGGCAUAUGGAGAUUUCCAGGCUAGGGGUCUAAUCAGUGUAGCCACCGGCCUACGCCACAGCCACAGCAAUGCCAGAUCCAAGCCACAUCUUUGACCUACACCAAAGCUCAUGGCAAUGCCAGAUCCUUAACCAUUGAGCGAGGCCAGGGAUUGAACCCGCAACCUCAUGGUUCCUAGUCGGAUUCAUGUCCACUGAGCCACGACAGGAACUCCUAUUUUAAUUUUCUUAAUGCUGGCCCCCAGUACCACAAACAACUUGGGGAUUUGCCUUACAGUAGUCAAUAGCUCAGUACCACAUGGCAGCGGGAUCCUUCUCUCCUCUGCCUUAAGAACUGAGGUCCAAGGAAAAAGACCUGAGUUUAGAAAGCUAAUGAUAACGAGGUUAUAAAAUAAUUCAUCUGAUGAGGAAACUAAUUUGUACACAUAUACUCUAAAGACGGUGAUGCUAGCAGGUAGCAAUAGCCACCACAGAAUACUUACAAAUCUUCAGGAACUUCCUGCAAUAUACACGAUGGAGCCCAACCGGGUUCAAAGACUUUUUGAACACCACACAAUAAAGGGCCCUUUAUAACUUUAGCAAGUAUACAAUACCCUGAUAAGAUUGCUUAUUCUAUAUGGCUUACAAUUGGCAAUGGCUAUAUUCAACACUUGUCUUAGAUUUUUAAUAAUGUUCUUAAACUAUUUCAAGAUAAAUAAAAUACCGUAGUGGUAUAAUUUGUCAUUUUCCUUUUUUGCCACACUUGGUUGAGAAGACCUAGUUAUGUUGGAAAAUUAUGAAAACCAAAUUUAGUGCUGUUUUUUUCCCUAUGUUUCCAUUUGCAACAGAAGGAAAUGACACUGUAUGGAAUGCUGUACAACCUUUUGAGAUUGGGGCUUUUGUCCACUCCAAGAGUGCAAAGACAUGAUACUGGCAUAACCUUGGUAAAUGAAAAACUAUUGUGAAGAUUUAAGAAUGCACUAAAAAAAUAUAGUAAUACUUUUGAAUAAAAAACACUCAUUGGCAUACUUCCUAUUACAUAACUUUCAACAUUUAAUGACAAAAAUCCAGUCAGUGAACACUGCAACACUUGGAAUCUGUUUUGCAAAAUGUUCUAAAGUGUGUGAAAUUGCUAUACAUGGUAGCCUCGCAUUUAUUUUUUUCAUUUUUAUUCAUCUUCAGCUAAUGCACAAGGCUUUGUAUGUUAUUUUAUUCCAAGUUAGUAAAUUUCAAAUUCUUGAUAGUGUUAAAAAAGACUAGGCCCUCUAGAGAUGGAAUAUUUAGAACUAGUAGCUCUGCACACUGUCUCUCCCAACCUGUUGGUAAGUGUUUAUGAAUAUCUAAGUUGGGAUUUUAAAAAUCCCAGGCAACAGGGUAAGAAAACAGUCAUUGCCUCAGCUUAACUGAUGUUAAACCAAUAGCAGUGUGUCAAAUAAUGUUAAUUUGAGGCCCCACUUUGUUUAUUGUUCUGGUAUGAGAGACCACCAAUACAUAGUAUUAUGGUUGUAAAGACUCCGUUCAUUCCCUUACUUUGGUACACGGCAUGUGAACAGUUUGUGAAUACGAGCAUGCUGGUCUGUUUUGCUUGGGAGUGAAGUUUCAUAUGGUAGUUUGAGUGACAAACAUCUCAGAGCUUGCUCACAUUCCUCUGUGGAAUAGUCACUUCUGAGAGAAAGAGGUGCGGCUUAGUGGUCUGGGAACAGGACUGUCAGCCAGGAACACAGAGUCCUCAUCUAGGAACUAGUUCUAUUUUCUUUAUAUACCAGAUCAUGCUAAUGAAUUUUUCCGGGACUCAGUUUACCCAGUUUUAAAAGCUUGUUAAGAAAAUCUAAUUAACUGGCCUAUUUUGAGUAUUAAUGAAUGGAUAUCUGUAAAUGACUUGAAAUGAAAAGUGAUGUGAAUGUAAGUAGGGUGAUGUUAUUUUCACAAACUAAUUAGUUUUAUAAAACAAAUAAAUAAUAGAAGAGUGUCAUCUUUUGGAAAAAUUACCCCCCAAAGAAGAAAAUUCAUUUUCAUGUUGAAGUAGUUCAUUUUAAUUUUUCUAAAUAAAUAUUUUCUACUCUAAAUGUUUUUCUUUUGUAAGUUAACAUGUUAAGGAUUUUAUGUAAUGCAAAUAAUUAAAUUCAUGAUUAGCUUCCAUUUAAACAUAAAGAGGUAGUCUCUUUGUUCUACAUAGCAAAGGGAAAUCUUUUCUCAAGUUCCACGCACUGUAAGCAUACGGACAUUAUUAACCUUAAUGUUUUAGAGGAAAAAAUUAGGAUCAAAGAAAUGUAUAGUCAAUCUAGAGCUUGCAUAGGGUGGUGUAAUAAACUGGCUGUUUAAACUGGCUGUUUAAAAAUGAUAAAGACUUCCAAGAAUAAGAUGCAGGUUCCAGAAAGAGAAAAUUGUGCAUAUGCACCCAAACAAAACAGGAGGGAAAAAAGACCUAAUGACUGAGUAAUUGUGGGGUUCUAUAUCUGACAAAUAUAAAAAAAUGAACCUUAAAUGCAAAUGCUUCAUUCUGGUGAUUCAGCUGGUCAGGAUUCACCUACUCCAAAUCCACCCCCCCCGCCCAAAUUAAUCAGCCUCAUAUAUGAGGUUAAAAAAACCCCAAACUUCUAAAAAAUAAAUUGAUUCUUUACACUAGGAAGCUUUACAUCUCCUAUCUCUCCCCCUCCCCUUUCCCCCCUUUUAAAAAUGAAAACAAACAAAACAUGGAUCUUCAUUUCUGUGUCUGGGAUCUCAAAUUUGGCUCUGAAUAUGUGUUUCAAAUCUCAUUAAUUACAGUAUUGGCCCCAUGAGAUAUGGUUGCUGAUGCAAAGAACACUCUUUGUACUCAAAAUAAUUUGAACAAGGGCAAAGAAGCAUUUUAUGUACAUGUGUAAACAUUAAGAGAAAAAAAAAAAACCGAGAUGAUGGUUCAGGUGGAAGCUGAGAUAUUUUAAUGAUAAUUGAUUUGAUUACUUAAGCUGUGACGUUUCCAGGUAUAGAAAUAGUUAUGUUUUCACUUAGUAUAUUUGUUGUAUGAUAACAUUCUCGUAAAGGUAACUCUGACAUUAACUUGGCAAGUUCUGAACUAAGACCUUUUAGCAUUUUAUUAUUUCCAGAUACUAAGACCAAAUUGUUUUGAAUUCCAUAUCCUACUGUGCAGAUCUAUAAUUUAUUUUUUUAAAUAUCAGAAAAUAUACCAUUACCCCAAAGACACUUCUGUGUAACAAAUCUGGGUAAAGACCAAUCAAAUGAAUAAAUUAUAACAGUAG
rnacentral:lncRNA from 1 species